ACCUCCUACUACACGGCUAGCCAAAUGAAAGCGUAUAAAAGCCUGGAAGCUUUCAACUACUUCGUGUGUGGAUGGGUGAAUGACCUCGGCACCAAAAAGGCAUUAAACAAAUGUCGCCUUGUUUUUGCCCGGGUCAACCAUUCCCAGAGGUCUGGAGAAACACCAUUUAAAAACGUGGAUUGUAGCUAAAGAAGAUGGAGAGGUUGUUACAGCACACUGUAACUGUAUGGCUGGUUUGUCAGAAUCCUGCUCACAUGUUGGAGCAGUUCUGUUUGCAAUCGAAGCAGGUGUGAAGAUGAGAGAGACUGCAUCCUGCACCACAAGUGGCUAAUGCCAUCACAUGUCAAAAA